UGCUGAGCCGGCCGGGGCUGACCCCUGCUGGGGGAACUCCUGCAGCUGCGGCCGUGGGGUCCAGCGAGCUUCGCGAGUUCGAUUCCCACCGCUGUGUUCCCAUUAACAAAAACAAAAAGGAAUUAGCAAUUGUGAGAACGUGAUUUGAAUGGCAGCCUCAGUGAAAUGCCAGCCUUUAUAUUCCUACAGAGAGAGUCAGCUGCACAGUCUGAUGACAACAGAGCAGCAUGAAGCUGAAAGACUUGGCACAAAACAGCAAAUGUCUGAGCAGCCCCUGCAAAGGGACCAGAAACGAAUGGCAGAGGGAAGAGAGCACUUCAUGGCAUUGGUGAUGCCAAUGAGUACUGCUUGGUUGGCUUCUUCCAAACACUCAUGUUUUUUUGGAAGUCCUGUGACUCCUAGAAGUAGAAAAUAGACCUGUUGAAGGCAGGCACUUUUGCAGGUAGCAGAAGCGUUGCUCCAGGAGGACAACAGGUUCAGUUCUGGUGGCAGUGUGUUAGCACUCUGUGGGG
ensembl:lncRNA